rnacentral:rRNA from 1 species
AAUGAACGCUGGCGGCAUGCCUAACACAUGCAAGUCGAGCGAACAGACGAGGAGCUUUCUCUUCUGACGUUGGCGGCUGACGGGCGAGUAACAAAUGGAUCAGCAACUUAUAAGUCUUGGAUAACAUCGGAAAACAAGAUCUAAUACCGGCUCAUAUAUCCAACCGCAUGGAUCAAUAGUUAAAGACGCUUUUGCCGACUCUUAUAGAUGAUUCCGCGCCGGAUUGGCUGGUUGGUAAGGUAACGCCUUACCAAGGCUACGAUGCGUAGCUGAGCUGAGAGGGUGAUCGGCCAGACUGGAACUGAGACACGGUCCAGACUCCUACGGGAGGCAGCAGUAGGGAAUCUUCAACAAUGGGCGAAAGCCUGACGGAGCAACGCCGCGUGGGUGAAGAAGGCCUUCGGAUCGUAAAACUCUUUUGUUGGGGAAGAACAAAUGUAUAAGUAUCUAUGACCGUCCUGACGGUACCAAAUCAAUAAGCAACGGCUAACUACGUG